UACAGAGGGUGCAAGCGUUGUUCGGAAUUAUUGGGCGUAAAGGGCGCGUAGGCGGUGCCACAAGUCACCUGUGAAAUCUCCGGGCCUAACUCGGAGCCUGCAGGCGAAACUGUGGUGCUGGAGUGUGGGAGAGGUGCGUGGAAUUCCCGGUGUAGCGGUGAAAUGCGUAGAUAUCGGGAAGAACACCUGUGGCGAAAGCGGCGCACUGGACCAUAACUGACGCUGAUGCGCGAAAGCUAGGGGAGCAAACAGG
rnacentral:rRNA from 1 species